rnacentral:rRNA from 1 species
CACAUGCAAGUCGAGCGGAAACGACAACAUUGAAUCUUCGGAGGAUUUGUUGGGCGUCGAGCGGCGGACGGGUGAGUAAUGCCUAGGAAAUUGCCUUGAUGUGGGGGAUAACUAUUGGAAACGAUGGCUAAUACCGCAUAAUGCCUACGGGCCAAAGAGGGGGAUCUUCGGACCUCUCGCGUCAAGAUAUGCCUAGGUGGGAUUAGCUAGUUGGUGAGGUAAUGGCUCACCAAGGCGACGAUCCCUAGCUGGUCUGAGAGGAUGAUCAGCCACACUGGAACUGAGACACGGUCCAGACUCCUACGGGAGGCAGCAGUGGGGAAUAUUGCACAAUGGGCGAAAGCCUGAUGCAGCCAUGCCGCGUGUGUGAAGAAGGCCUUCGGGUUGUAAAGUACUUUCAGUUGUGAGGAAGGGGAUAACGUUAAUAGCGUUAUCUCUUGACGUUAGCAACAGAAGAAGCACCGGCUAACUCCGUGCCAGCAGCCGCGGUAAUACGGAGGGUGCGAGCGUUAAUCGGAAUUACUGGGCGUAAAGCGCAUGCAGGUGGUUCAUUAAGUCAGAUGUGAAAGCCCGGGGCUCAACCUCGGAACUGCAUUUGAAACUGGUGAACUAGAGUGCUGUAGAGGGGGGUAGAAUUUCAGGUGUAGCGGUGAAAUGCGUAGAGAUCUGAAGGAAUACCAGUGGCGAAGGCGGCCCCCUGGACAGACACUGACACUCAGAUGCGAAAGCGUGGGGAGCAAACAGGAUUAGAUACCCUGGUAGUCCACGCCGUAAACGAUGUCUACUUGGAGGUUGUGGCCUUGAGCCGUGGCUUUCGGAGCUAACGCGUUAAGUAGACCGCCUGGGGAGUACGGUCGCAAGAUUAAAACUCAAAUGAAUUGACGGGGGCCCGCACAAGCGGUGAGCAUGUGUUUAAUUCGAUGCAACGCGAGACCUUACCUACUCUUGACAUCCAGAGAGCAGUGAGACACAGGUGUGCCUUCGGAGCUCUGAGACAGGUGCUGCAUGCUGUCGUCAGCUCGUGUUUGUGAAAUGUUGGAUAGUCCCGCACGAGCGCAACCCUUAUUCUUGUUUGUCAGCGAGUAAUGUCGGAACUCCAGGGAGAACUGUCGGGUGAUAAUCCGGAAGAAGGUGGGGACAACCUCAGUCAUUCUUGGCCUUACAGAUAGGGCUACACACCGGUCUUAUAUGGGGCGCUAUCGAAGGGGCGCCAAGCCUUUCGCAAAGUAUAGCGCGAACU